GAUGAACGCUAGCGGCAGGCUUAAUACAUGCAAGUCGAGGGGUAGCAAGAUUGUAGCAAUACAAUUGUUGACGACCGGCAAACGGGUGCGGAACACGUACACAACCUUCCUACAAGUGGGGAAUAGCCCAGAGAAAUUUGGAUUAAUACCCCGUAACAUAGCGAUGUGGCAUCACAUUGCUAUUAUAGCUUCGGCGCUUGUUGAUGGGUGUGCGGCUGAUUAGAUAGUUGGCGGGGUAACGGCCCACCAAGUCUACGAUCAGUAGCUGAUGUGAGAGCAUGAUCAGCCACACGGGCACGGAGACACGGGCCCGACUCCUACGGGAGGCAGCAGUAAGGAAUAUUGGACAAUGGACGCAAGUCUGAUCCAGCCAUGCCGCGUGAAGGAUUAAGGUCCUCUGGAUUGUAAACUUCUUUUAUAAGGGACGAAAAAAGGUCUUUCUAGAUCGUCUGACGGUACCUUAUGAAUAAGCACCGGCUAACUCUGUGCCAGCCGCCGCUGUAAUAC
rnacentral:rRNA from 1 species